AUGGACAGGCCACGCAGCCACACCUCCAGUAGUCGGGCAUCUUCAGCCAUGUCCCACAACCCCAGAAUCUUGCCCCAGGUCUCCGCGUCCACGACGGAAGCCGACUGGCACCAGGGCACUCAGGACUCUGCCCAGAGGCACAGAAAGGUGCACCCCACCACCAUCCUGCUCCGCAAGUCGGAGAGCAGCCAGGCCGCCCUGGUGCCCCAGGAGCACAAGAUGUUCAUGGAGGAAGCUACAACGCCGGUGAAGCCCAGCCCCGGGACAGGCAGGGCAGGGCAGGGCCCCGACAGGCCCACCAGGUCCCUCCAGCAACGCAGUCCUGGGGGGAGGCUGGACCAGACCCGUCCAGGGCCGAGGCCAUGUCAAGCAGCUCACGCCCUCGGCCUCUGCGUGCUCCCCAGGCCCCGUCCAGAGCCCAGAAGGCCCAGCCCCCCACCUUCUGACCAUCUCUCACCCCCUUCACGCCACAGAGCUGCUCCUGCCCCAGACCGCUUUGCCCCUCACUGAGACACUAGGCAUGUUGAAGGGAGGAUGGGGCAUAGGAAAAUGGGUCAGGAGUAGAGGGGUUGGUGCAGGAGGUUAGUAGAUGGGGGGUUGGGGAGCUGAGGGAUGGAGACGUGGGUGGGUGAUGGAUGGGUGGAUGAUGGGUGGAUGGGUGAGUAGAUGGGUGGAUGGAUGGGUGGGUGGAUGCAUGGAUGAUGGAUGGGUGGAUGGAUGGGUAGGUGGAGGGAUGGAUGGAUGGAUGGAUGGGUGGAUGGAUGGGUAGGUGGAGGGAUGGGUGAGUGGAUGGAUGGGUGGAUGGGUGGGUGGAGGAUGGGCAGAUACAUGGAUGGAUGGAUGGGUGGAUGGAUGGAUGGGUGGAUGGGUGGAUGGGUGGGUGGAUGGAUGGGUGGAUGGGCAGAUGCAUGGAUGAUGGAUGGAUGGGUGGGUGAAUGGGUGGAUAGGUGGAUGGAUGGGUGGGUGGAGGGAUGGGUGGGUGGAUGGAUGGGUGGGUGGAUGGAUGGGUGGGUGGAUGGGUGGAUGGAUGGAUGGGUGGGUGGAGGGAUGGAUGGGUG
rnacentral:lncRNA from 1 species